rnacentral:sRNA from 20 species
UUUCAGCCUCACGCCCGUGGGGUUGGGCAGGCGUAAUGGGGGACACCUGCUCGAAGAAAAGCGGUC